GCCCAUGGUAGUGGGUUUUCAGAACGUAUUUUAGUGUCACUAAACUUGGUGUACAAUGCCCACUGUUAAAUUGGUAAAUUAU
ensembl:misc_RNA Y_RNA Y RNA